UACUACUACUCUACUGCAAAUUACUGAGAGAGAGAGAGAAUCAAUCGACCAUGGCUACCAAACCAUUUCAACAAAGUCGCAAAACCAAAACCAAAACCAUAUACUUGAUACCUUCACCUACUACCUUUAUGUUCUCAUUGAGUGGUACCAUCAACGUCUACAAUGCUUAUGCCGGUGGCUCCUCUUACGCGGCUGCUUUCAUCCUUUUGAUGUUUUGUGUUUCGUUGAUCACAGAAUACCAUUUCUCAGAUUAUCGAAGAUUCUUGAGUCCAGCCAAGAAAUCAUAUGGGAAAGAUUUGUUGAGAUUUGGGUUCUGGUUCUCAUCCACAGUGAUCAUGUUUGGCUUUGCAUUCCGGCUCAUGAUGGCUGCUGCUUCUUCGCUUUUCUUCCUGGCUGCUUUCAUCUUCCCUCUCCUGGGCUUUGCAACUGUUGGCAGCGCCUACCUUUUCCAUAUCUGCAGAUUUCCUGGUCAUGAUAUUCACUGCUCUUGCAAUCACGAUAGAACACUUUAUUGUUCUGGUUUUAAUGUGGUUUUAUAUUGAAUAUCCAGGUAUUCAACUGUUUUAUGGGUGAUGAUUAUGAAGCAAAAUAAAUAAAUAAAUAAAUAAAAUAAAAUAAAAUCAGUUACAGUUUAGAAGUUGUUGGAAAUUGCAGAAAGUUAACAUGGCAAGGAGUAGUUCCAAGGAGCAUUCGUGAUAGUGAUAAGACAGUUCGAGACAGUGUAGAUGGACUGUUUAUUCAGAAAAACAUGGCACUCUUCUUUUCUGGUGGUGACUGACAGGUGCUGGCCGGCAAUAUGAUAAGGAUCUCAUGGCAACUUUUUUAGACAGUAAAAUAUAUAUCUGCUUUAGUUUUGUUCUUAAAUUGUUAUUGGUUGGUAGACAUUAGUAUUUCUCUCUCUUUGUAUAUAUAUAUUUCUAUGUAAAUGGGCUAGAUUUACAAUGCUGGGUAGUUGUUGAUCUGUUUCUGGUUUAUGUGUCAAUUGAGUUUAAAGUGCA